GACGAACGCUGGCGGCGUGCUUAACACAUGCAAGUCGAACGGAAAGGCCCUGCUUGCAGGGUACUCGAGUGGCGAACGGGUGAGUAACACGUGGGUGAUCUGCCCUGCACUUCGGGAUAAGCCUGGGAAACUGGGUCUAAUACCGGAUAGGAGCCAUUCUUAGUGUGGUGGUUGGAAAGAUUUUUCGGUGUAGGAUGAGCUCGCGGCCUAUCAGCUUGUUGGUGGGGUAAUGGCCUACCAAGGCGGCGACGGGUAGCCGGCCUGAGGGGGUGGACGGCCACAAUGGGACUGGGAUACGGCCCAGACUCCUACGGGAGGCAGCAGUGGGGAAUAUUGCACAAUGGGCGCAAGCCUGAUGCAGCGACGCCGCGUUGGGGAUGACGGCCUUCGGGUUGUAAACUCCUUUCGCUAGGGACGAAGCUUUUUGUGACGGUACCUAGAUAAGAAGCACCGGCUAACUACGUG
rnacentral:rRNA from 1 species